rnacentral:rRNA from 1 species
CCGGUACUCAUUAAGGCUGAGCUGUGAUGGGGAGAAGACAUUGUGUCUUCGAGUCGUUGAUUUCACACUGCCGAGAAAAGCCUCUAGAUAGAAAAUAGGUGCCCGUACCGCAAACCGACACAGGUAGUCAAGAUGAGAAUUCUAAGGUGAGCGAGCGAACUCUCGUUAAGGAACUCGGCAAAAUGACCCCGUAACUUCGGGAGAAGGGGUGCUCUUUAGGGUUAACGCCCAGAAGAGCCGCAGUGAAUAGGCCCAAGCGACUGUUUAUCAAAAACACAGGUCUCUGCUAAACCGUAAGGUGAUGUAUAGGGGCUGACGCCUGCCCGGUGCUGGAAGGUUAAGAGGAGUGGUUAGCUUCUGCGAAGCUACGAAUCGAAGCCCCAGUAAACGGCGGCCGUAACUAUAACGGUCCUAAGGUAGCGAAAUUCCUUGUCGGGUAAGUUCCGACCCGCACGAAAGGCGUAACGAUUUGGGCACUGUCUCAACGAGAGACUCGGUGAAAUCAUAGUACCUGUGAAGAUGCAGGUUACCCGCGACAGGACGGAAAGACCCCGUGGAGCUUUACUGUAGCCUGAUAUUGAAAUUCGGCACAGCUUGUACAGGAUAGGUAGGAGCCUUUGAAACGUGAGCGCUAGCUUACGUGGAGGCGCUGGUGGGAUACUACCCUAGCUGUGUUGGCUUUCUAACCCGCACCACUUAUCGUGGUGGGAGACAGUGUCAGGCGGGCAGUUUGACUGGGGCGGUCGCCUCCUAAAAGGUAACGGAGGCGCUCAAAGGUUCCCUCAGAAUGGUUGGAAAUCAUUCAUAGAGUGUAAAGGCAUAAGGGAGCUUGACUGCGAGACCUACAAGUCGAGCAGGGUCGAAAGACGGACUUAGUGAUCCGGUGGUUCCGCAUGGAAGGGCCAUCGCUCAACGGAUAAAAGCUACCCCGGGGAUAACAGGCUUAUCUCCCCCAAGAGUUCACAUCGACGGGGAGGUUUGGCACCUCGAUGUCGGCUCAUCGCAUCCUGGGGCUGUAGUCGGUCCCAAGGGUUGGGCUGUUCGCCCAUUAAAGCGGUACGCGAGCUGGGUUCAGAACGUCGUGAGACAGUUCGGUCCCUAUCCGUCGUGGGCGUAGGAAAUUUGAGAGGAGCUGUCCUUAGUACGAGAGGACCGGGAUGGACAUACCUCUGGUGUACCAGUUGUCGUGCCAACGGCAUAGCUGGGUAGCUAUGUGUGGACGGGAUAAGUGCUGAAAGCAUCUAAGCAUGAAGCCCCCCUCAAGAUGAGAUUUCCCAACUUCGGUUAUAAGAUCCCUCAAAGAUGAUGAGGUUAAUAGGUUCGAGGUGGAAGCAUGGUGACAUGUGGAGCUGACGAAUACUAAUCGAUCGAAGACUUAAUCAA